rfam:Candidatus Staskawiczbacteria bacterium RIFCSPLOWO2_01_FTLL_33_9 rifcsplowo2_01_scaffold_52534, whole genome shotgun sequence.
AAUUAGGUUAUAUGCAAAUGGUGGAUGCCUUGGGAUAUUGAAGCUAUGAAGGACGUGGCGUGCCUGCGAUAAGCUUCGGGGAGGUGGCUAGCAACCUUUGAUCCGGAGACUUCCGAAUGGGGAAACCCGUUUUUGUUAAUACAAAAUCAAUUCUGUCGUAAGACAGAGUAGCGUACCCGCUGAAGUGAAACAUCUCAGUAGGUGGAGGAAAAGAAAACAAUGAAAAUUUUUAUUUUCUGUUGACUAGAAUUCUGAACAGAGAUUAGAAAUUUUUACAUUCCCUUAGUAGUGGCGAGCGAAAAGGGAUCAGCUCAAACCAGUAUUUUUUAAUAUUGGGGUUGUAAGAAUUUAACGUCGGGAGCACUAAAUACUCAAUUUAUGUUGAGUGUUUAAUGUUUGCCGAGGGAGAGCAUUUAGGUAAAUUAUUAAAAGAAGCACCCUGGAAAGGGGCGCCAUAGAGGGUAAUAGCCCCGUAUUCUAAAAUAAUUUUACGCUCCUUGUUAAAUAUCUUGAGUACUGUCGGGAAUGAUAACCUGGCAGGAAACAGGCCGAACUAUCGGCCAAAGCUAAAUAUUCAAUAUCACCGAUAGUGAACCAGUACCGUGAGGGAAAGGUGAAAAGUAGGGGGAUGACCCCGGUGAAAUAGAACCUGAAACCAUUUGCUUACAAAGAGUCGGAGCCCCGACGCAAGUUGUGGGUGACGGCGUGCUUUUUGCAGAACGAGCCAACGAGUUUGAUUAUUCAGCUUGUCUAAGCCCUUUUGGGGCGAAGGCGUAGCGAAAGCGAGUGUUAAUAGCGCGUUUGCUGAAUGUUCAAGACCCGAAGCCAGACGAGCUUACCAUGGGCAGGAUGAACCAAGACGAAAGUCGAGGGGAGGUCCGAACCCGUAAGGCGUGCAAUCCUUUGGGAUGACCUGUGGUAAGGAGUGAAAAGCUAAUCGAGUUUGGUAAUAGCUGGUUCUUCCCGAAACAGCUUUGGGGCUGGCGUCUAUGGUGAAAUAUGGGGGUAGAGCACUAGAUAGAAUUCCUUGGAGUUUCUCCAGGUUUUCUAACUAAACUCCGAAUACCAUAUUUUUAAACAUAGGCAGUUAGUCUACGGGGGCUAAGCUCCGUAGACAAAAGAGUAACAGCUCAGAUCAUCGUCUAAGGUCCCUAAAUUAAACUAAGUGUUAUGAAGGAAGUAUUUUGCCCUCGACAGGCAGGAAGUUAGCUUAGAGGUAGCUAUCUUUUAAAGAGUGUGUAACAACUCACUGUCCUAAUCCAGACGUUUACGUCUAGAAGGGGCCGAAUGCGCCAAAGAUUUCCGGGGCUAAAGUUUAAUACCGAAGACAUGGAUGCUGAUAAUUUAUUAUCGGCGUGGUAGGGAAGCAUUCCUAGCGCAUUGAAGCCUGCGUGUAAACAAAGGUGGAGUACUAGGAAGAGAGAAUGUUGGCCUGAGUAACCGCAAGUCUGGUGAAAGCCCAGACCACCGAAAGUCCAAGGUUUCCUUGGCAAUGGUAAUCAACCAAGGGUUAGGCGGUCCUAAGGCGAACCCGAGAGGGGUAGUCGAUGGACAGUCGGUUAAUAUUCCGACCCUUGAAUACUUUUUUAAUGAGUGCGCAGUGUAGUAAUUUUAGCGGCUAAUCGGAUUUCCGUUCUUGGCUUGUGGGGCAACCUGAAAGCACAGAAAAGUUGGUAGUAAUAUCAGCAAUUAAAGUGAGCGCGCUGCCUAGAAAAGCUCAAAAAUUAUAUAGUAUUCAAACCGUACCGCAAACCGACACAGGUGGACAAGCGUAAGUGUGCUAAGGUGAACGGGUGAAACCUCGUUAAGGAACUCGGCAAAUCAGUGGCCGUAAGUUCGCAAUAUGGCCUUCCCAAGUCCGUAAGGAUUUUGGGACGCAGCUAACGUAUUUCAAGCGACUGUUUAUCAAAAACACAGCUCCCUGCUAAACUCGUAAGAGGAUGUAUAGGGGGUGAGGCCUGACCAGUGCUGGAAUGUUAAGUUUGGGGGUGCUGGCCGUAAGGUUAGUGCUCACUGAAUGAAGCACCAGUGAACGUCGGCGAUAACUAUAAUCGUCCAAAGGUAGCGUAAUCCCUUGCCGGGUAA